GGCAGCGGCGUCGGCCGGGAGGGAAGUGACGCGACGUUCCGAGGCGGCGGCGCCAGAGUUGUCCGCGCGCCGCUCACGUGACCCGGCUUCGAAGGAGACGUUGCAGGUCAGUGCGGCCGGGCGAGUCCAGCCGCUGCUGCUGCUGAAGCAGCGGCGGCCGCGGUUGUUGUUGUUUGCUGUUGCGGCUCUUUACCCCCCCCUCCUCGUGCGCGUGCGCGGCGCCCCCCUCCCGCCGCUCAGCCGGUCCCUCUGCCUCGUCCUCCGCGCUUCCGCCGGGCUCCGGCCCGCAGGCGGCCCGAAGCCGGAGGGAGACGACCCGGGUUGGGUGGAUGUGGGGUGGCGGGGUGGGGAGGGGAAGGGAAGGGAAGAAGGGACGGGGACAGGGUCUCCCCCGCAGGCUUUCCCCCUUUUUUUGCCGUGUGUGGGACUCCGAUGAUGUGGGACUCUUGUGUCCCGGGCAGCUGUUUACCAGCUCCAUCUGGUACACAGGCGGAAACCCUACCUGCCUGCGGACUGUCUCGCCAGAGUGGUGCAUGCUCUGGUUAUCUCCCGCUUGGACUACUGCAAUGCGCUCUACGUGGGGCUACCUUUGAAGGUGACCCGGAAAAUACAACUAAUCCAGAAUGCGGCAGCUAGACUGGUGACUGGGAGCAGCCGCCGAGACCAUAUAACACCGGUCUUGAAAGACCUACACUGGCUCCCAGUAUGUUUCCGAGCAC